rnacentral:rRNA from 1 species
GCUCAGGAUGAACGCUAGCGGCAGGCCUAAUACAUGCAAGUCGAACGGUUUCCAGCAAUGGAGAUAGUGGCGCACGGGUGCGUAACGCGUAACCAACCUACCCGAAUCUGGGGGAUAGCCCGCCGAAAGGCGGAUUAAUACCGCAUAAGACUAUGAGCCGGCAUCGGAUGGUAGUUAAAGAUUUAUUGGAUUCGGAUGGGGUUGCGUGCCAUUAGCUAGUUGGGGGGGUAACGGCCCACCAAGGCGACGAUGGCUAGGGGAGCUGAGAGGCUGGUCCCCCACACGGGCACUGAGAUACGGGCCCGACUCCUACGGGAGGCAGCAGUAGGGAAUAUUGGGCAAUGGAGGAGACUCUGACCCAGCCAUGCCGCGUGCCGGAUGAAGGCCUUCUGGGUCGUAAACGGCUUUUUUCCGGGAAGAACCGGUUCCUUGCGAGGGGCUCUGACGGUACCGGAG